CAUUGUCAGUGACGUCAUUCUACGCGACUACCACAGGUGAAGGUGCUGCCCACCCAUGAUGCCAGCAAGGUGCGUGCAAGUGGAUCCGGCCUUAAAAUCACUGGAGUGCCCAGCUCUCUGCCAGUGAAGUUCAACAUUGAUGCCAAAGAUGCAGGACCCAGACGGGAAGCCCAAGAAGCAAAUAUCUGUGACAACCAUGAUGGGACCUACCUGGUGUCUUAUGUGCCAGACAUGACUGACAGAUACACCACACUCAUUAAGUACGGAGGAGACGAGAUCCCUUAUUCACCCUACUGAAUCAGGGCUCUGCCCACCCGAGAUGCCAGCAAGUGCACUGUCACUGAAUGUUGCGCACAGCUGCUCUUUUCUGCUCCGCGCUGCACGUGCUCAUGAAGGCACUGGCGAGGUGGUUUCCUUCCAAUUGAAGCAGGACCAGUACGUCUGCCAGCUCCAGAUAGAGC